GGCCUUAGGCCCAAACCGGAUCCAAGGAUGCAAGGAAAAGAGGAGAAUGCUCAUAACUGAGCUGAAAAAAUGCUUUGUAAAAAAGCUGAAGCGAAAGGAACGAAGGAAAAACGCUUUGCAGAAAAGCUUAGUGUCAGCAACGUGUUCUUCACAAAUUCGGCAUCGCGUUUUGUUCAUCAAUUCUUCGCAUCAUCAUCGCGGACGUGGAUUGCAUCAUCGUGUCAUGAUUUGCGUCUCAUGGAGCGUGAUCUAAUCAGAGUUCUUCACUCAUGUUCGUGUUUCAACCUUCUCCGCUCAUGCUCGCAUUUGGAAUUCAACCGAAUCGCAACCAAAAUGCUCGAAUCAUAGCAAAGAGGUGGAAGAAAAUUUACCAAACUUUGAGCUCCGGCACGGUGGCACAAACACAUACUGACUCUUUCUCUGCCUUGCUCUGCUUCUGUUCCGACGUACUCAUGGCAUGAUCAAGGCUUACCUACGAAGUGUUCUAGCAUGGCAUCAUGUGGAAUUUUAUUGAAAACACCAAAAUCAAGAAAAUGGAGGAUAAAGAUGGGAUGAUGAAUCAAAAAAGGGAAAUUAAGAUUUUAAAAUUAGGUGGUGUUGACUUUGGUCUACUGUUGAUCAAAAAGUAAGUAGUUGAUUAAAAAGUCAACCUUACCAAAAUCUUUAUUUUUUUUUGUAAAUUGUUGUAUGAAUAAUGUAAAAUGUUUUAUAUGAAUAUGAUGGUCAAUUUUGAAUGAAAA